CACGUAGGGUGCGAGCGUUGUCCGGAAUUAUUGGGCGUAAAGAGCUCGUAGGCGGUGUGUCGCGUCGGCCGUGAAAACCUGCAGCUUAACUGUGGGCUUGCGGUCGAUACGGGCAUCACUGGAGUUCGGCAGGGGAGACUGGAAUUCCUGGUGUAGCGGUGAAAUGCGCAGAUAUCAGGAGGAACACCGGUGGCGAAGGCGGGGUCUCUGGGCCGAACACUGAUCGCUGAGGAGCGAAAGCGUGGGGGAGCGAACAGG
rnacentral:rRNA from 1 species